rnacentral:rRNA from 1 species
CGUAAAGCGCACGCAGGCGGUCUGUUAAGUCAGAUGUGAAAUCCCCGGGCUUAACCUGGGAACUGCAUUUGAAACUGGCAGGCUUGAGUCUCGUAGAGGGGGGUAGAAUUCCAGGUGUAGCGGUGAAAUGCGUAGAGAUCUGGAGGAAUACCGGUGGCGAAGGCGGCCCCCUGGACGAAGACUGACGCUCAGGUGCGAAAGCGUGGGGAGCAAACAGGAUUAGAUACCCUGGUAGUCCACGCCGUAAACGAUGUCGACUUGGAGGUUGUGCCCUUGAGGCGUGGCUUCCGGAGCUAACGCGUUAAGUCGACCGCCUGGGGAGUACGGCCGCAAGGUUAAAACUCAAAUGAAUUGACGGGGGCCCGCACAAGCGGUGGAGCAUGUGGUUUAAUUCGAUGCAACGCGAAGAACCUUACCUGGCCUUGACAUCCAGAGAACUUAGCAGAGAUGCUUUGGUGCCUUCGGGAACUCUGAGACAGGUGCUGCAUGGCUGUCGUCAGCUCGUGUUGUGAAAUGUUGGGUUAAGUCCCGCAACGAGCGCAACCCUUAUCCUUUGUUGCCAGCGGCUCGGCCGGGAACUCACAGGAGACUGCCGGU